CCUACGGGAGGCAGCAGUGGGGAAUAUUGGACAAUGGGGGCAACCCUGAUCCAGCAAUUCUGUGUGCACGAAGAAGGUUUUCGGAUUGUAAAGUGCUUUCAGCAGGGAAGAAGAAAGUGACGGUACCUGCAGAAGAAGCGGCGGCUAAAUACGUGCCAGCAGCCGCGGUAAUACGUAUGUCGCAAGCGUUAUCCGGAAUUAUUGGGCAUAAAGGGCAUCUAGGCGGCCAGACAAGUCUGGGGUGAAAACUUGCGGCUCAACCGCAAGCCUGCCCUGGAAACUGUCUGGCUAGAGUGCUGGAGAGGUGGACGGAACUGCACGAGUAGAGGUGAAAUUCGUAGAUAUGUGCAGGAAUGCCGAUGAUGAAGAUAGUUCACUGGACGGCAACUGACGCUGAAGUGCGAAAGCUAGGGGAGCGAACAGGAUUAGAUACCCGUGUAGUC
rnacentral:rRNA from 1 species